AUUGAACGCUGGCGGCAUGCCUUACACAUGCAAGUCGAACGGUAACAGGUUAAGCUGACGAGUGGCGAACGGGUGAGUAAUGUAUCGGAACGUGCCCAGUCGGGGGGAUAACUGCUCGAAAGAGCAGCUAAUACCGCAUACGAUCUGCGGAUGAAAGCGGGGGAUCGCAAGACCUCGCGCGAUUGGAGCGGCCGAUAUCUGAUUAGCUAGUUGGUGGGGUAAAGGCCCACCAAGGCGACGAUCAGUAGCUGGUCUGAGAGGACGACCAGCCACACUGGGACUGAGACACGGCCCAGACUCCUACGGGAGGCAGCAGUGGGGAAUUUUGGACAAUGGGGGCAACCCUGAUCCAGCCAUGCCGCGUGCAGGAAGAAGGCCUUCGGGUUGUAAACUGCUUUUGUCAGGGAAGAAAUCCUUUGGGCUAAUACCCUGAGGGGAUGACGGUACCUGAAGAAUAAGCACCGGCUAACUACGUGCCAGCAGCCGCGGUAA
rnacentral:rRNA from 1 species